GAUGAACGCUGGCGGCGUGCCUAAUACAUGCAAGUCGAGCGAACAGACGAGGAGCUUGCUCCUCUGACGUUAGCGGCGGACGGGUGAGUAACACUUGGAUAACCUACCUAUAAGACUGGGAUAACUUCGGGAAACCGGAGCUAAUGCCGGAUAAUAUAUUGAACCGCAUGGUUCAAUAGUGAAAGACGGUUUUGCUGUCACUUAUAGAUGUAUCCGCGCCGCAUUAGCUAGUUGGUAAGGUAACGGCUUACCAAGGCAACGAUGCGUAGCCGACCUGAGAGGGUGAUCAGCCACACUGGAACUGAGACACGGUCCAGACUCCUACGGGAGGCAGCAGUAGGGAAUAUUCCGCAAUGGGCGAAAGCUUGACGGAGCAACGCCGCGUGAGUGAUGAAGGUCUUCGGAUCGUAAAACUCUGUUAUUAGGGAAGAAAAAAUGUGGAAGUAACUAUGCACGUCUUGACGGUACCUAAUCAGAAAGCCACGGCUAACUACGUG
rnacentral:rRNA from 1 species